rnacentral:lncRNA from 1 species
UUAUUGAGACAGUCACCCAGGCUGGAGUGCAGUGGUGUGAUCAUGGCUCCCUGCAGCCUCAACCUCAUGGGUUCAAGUGAUCCUUCCACCUCAGUCUCCCAAUUAGCUAGGACUACAAGUAUGCAAUUAGCUAGGACUACAAGUAUGCACCACAAUACCUGGCCUUUUCUUUUCUGUAGGGACAGGGUCUCACUGUAUUGCUCAGGAUAGUCUCUAACUCCUGGACUCAAGCCAUCUUUCUACCUUGGCAAGAGCCACUAUACCUGGCCUGUUUUCUCUUUUAGCAUUUCUAUACUUUGGUUUUUACUAGUUGCCCUGGAGUUUGCAGUAUAGACUUGCAACAAAUCCAAGUCCACCUUCAAAUAACACUAUACCAGUUCAGUUACUUCGACUGCCUUCUAAUAGAAAUGUAAUACCAGUUUCUCUCAUAUUCCUAUGUCUUGUGUUAUUGUUGCCAUUUGUUUCACUUAUAUGUAAGCAUACAUAGCCUUGUAUAUAUUAAAGUAUGUAAUUGGCUGGGUGCCUUGGCUCAAGCCUGUAAUCCCAACACUUUGGGAGGCUGAGACAGGUGGAUCAUGAGGUCAGGAGAUGGAGACCCUCCUUGCUAACAUGGUGAAACCCCAUCUUUACUAAAAAUACAAAAAAUUAGCUGGACGUGGUGGCACACGCCUGUAGUCCCAGCUACUCGGGAGGCUUGGACAGGAGAAUUGCUUGAACCAGGGAGGAGGUGGAGGUUGCAGUGAGCUGAGAUUGCACCACUGCACUCCAGCCUGGGUGACAGAGCAAGACUCUCUCAAAAAA